UAAGAUCUACCCUCUGGAACGAGAAGAAAG
rnacentral:piRNA from 1 species